rnacentral:rRNA from 1 species
UGGCGGCGUGGAUAAGACAUGCAAGUCGAACGGGAAUUUUAGAGCUUGCUUUGAAAAUUUCUAGUGGCGGACGGGUGAGUAACACGUGAGCAACCUGCCCUGAAGUGGGGAAUAGCCCGGGGAAACUCGGAUUAAUACCGCAUGUGAUCGUAAGAUUAAAGGUGGCGUAAGCUGCCGCUUCAGGAUGGGCUCGCGGCCUAUCAGCUUGUUGGUGAGGUAACGGCUCACCAAGGCGACGACGGGUAGCUGGUCUGAGAGGAUGAUCAGUCACACUGGAACUGAGACACGGUCCAGACACCUACGGGUGGCAGCAGUCGAGAAUCAUUCGCAAUGGGCGAAAGCCUGACGGUGCGACGCCGCGUGGAGGAUGAAGGCCCUCGGGUCGUAAACUCCUGUCAUCAGGGAGUAAGGCUUUAUGGAGUAACUGCCAUAAAGAUUGAUAGUACCUGAAGAGGAAGGGACGGCCAACUUCGUG